rnacentral:rRNA from 1 species
GGGGGACAAAUUAAUAAUAAAAAAAAUAAUAAUAAAAAAAAUUUUAAAAAAAAAUAUUUUAAUGGGGGUUAAAGUAUUUUUAAUAGAAAAAAUUUUUUUAUUUAUAGUUAACUAGUAUUGUAAAAGAAUUUUGAAAUAAAUGAAAAAAAAAUUAAUAAAAAAGUAAAUUUCGUUUAUUGUAUCUUGUGUAUCAGAGUUUAUUAAAAAUUUUUUAAGGGUUUAAAUAUCUCGAAUUUAAAAGAGUUAAUUAAUUAAUAAAGUUAUUGUAGCAUAAAUAUUUUAAAUAAUUAAUUGGAAAUGAAAUGUUAAUCGUUUUUAAAGAUAUCUAGUUUUUUUAGAAAAAAAUUUAAUUUUCAAUUUUAUUUAAAUAAAAAAUAAAUAUUUAUUUUUUAUUUAAAUAAAAUUAAAUAAUUUAAGGGAUAAGCUUUAAAUUAAAGUUUUAUAAUUAAAAUGAAAAAAAAAUUUAAAAAUUUUAUAAUUUGAAUUGUUAACAAAUUUUAUUUUAUUAUAAAUAAUUUUAAAUGAAUUAAAAUUUAAUUUAAUUUAAUUUUUUAUAAAAAAAUUUAUUUUAAUGAUAUAUAUAAAGAGAUUAUGAUAAAAUUAGUAAAUAAAAAUAUUAAAAAUAAUAAAUUAAUUUAAUUAUUUUUAAGGAAUUCGGCAAAAUUUUAUAUUCACUUGUUUAUCAAAAACAUGUCUUUUUGAUAAUAAUUUAAAGUCUAAUCUGCCCACUGAUAAUUUUAUUAAAGGGCUGCAGUAUUUUGACUGUACAAAGGUAGCAUAAUCAUUAGUCUCUUAAUUGGUGACUUGUAUGAAAGAUUGGAUGAGAUAUAGACUGUCUUAAGGGUAAAAAAAAUUGAAUUUAAUUUUUUAAUCAAAAAGUUAAAAUAUAUUAAAAAGACGAGAAGACCCUAUAGAGUUUAAUAUUAGGAUGAAUUUAAUUUAUUUAUAAAUUUAUUGAAUUUAAAUUUAUAUAUAAUAUUUAAUUGGGGGGAUGAAAAAAUAAAUAAAACUUUUUUAAAAAUUAACCAUAAAUAAGUGAAUUUUUGAUCCAAUUUUAUUGAUUAUAAGAAAAAAUUACCUUAGGGAUAACAGCGUAAUUUUUUUUUUUAGUUCUUAUAAGAAAAAAAGUUUGCGACCUCGAUGUUGGAUUAAGAUAAAAUUUAAAUGCAAAAGUUUAAAAUUUUUGAUCUGUUCGAUCAUUAAAAUCUUACAUGAUCUGAGUUCAAACCGGUGUGAGCCAGGUUGGUUUCUAUCUUUUAUAGAUUUUAAUAUUUUAGUACGAAAGGAUUGAAUAUUAUAAUUAAAUUAAUUUUAAUGAAUAUCAUUAAUUAAUAAUUAAAAAUAUUAAUUUAGUUAUAUAAUUUAUAACUA